CAAACGCCGCCGCCACCUCCGCGAGGAAAACCCUAAUUCUUGGUCUAUAUAAAUAAGGGAUUCAUGAGAGACGAACGUUGUCCUCGGGUUUCCUGUGAUCUUGUUUGGUUUCGCCAGCGUCUUUUGGUUUCCUCUCGCGGAAGCUCUGUAUAAGAUUUAGAGAUUUUGCUUGUCUCUCCAUCAAAGUGGAGGUUGCUGUGACGAAUCUGGAAAAUUCAAGCUCAACAGACCGGAUCGCAGGUCUCGCUUUCUGGAGGGAUUUGUAUGUCGACUGCCCCGCUGAACUGAACAAGCUCCCACAUUCCUUUUUGUUUUCAUUCGUGAUUUCUCAAAAAUCUAUAUUUUCAUCUAUUUGAUGCGGCUUUUUGUGUUCUUACGUCUAUGUAAUUAUCCCUCUUUGGUGCCCGAGGCAGAGGGUGGCUGAUUUCUUGCGAGUUGUUUCCUUUUUCGUCAAAAAAGAUUUUUCAAAAUCUAUAUUUUAGCCGAUUUUGUGUUAUACAUCACUAUUUCUCGGAGAUUUGUGCGUCGAAUAAAAGAAGAUCAAACCUUCCUUUAUUGAGUUUUGAUACGGCGGUAAAACUCGCAGCUCUUUACGGUUUCAUGUUGUUGUUGUUGUUUGAUAAAUCGGAUUGUAGAUCUCCCUCUCAUUGAUUGAGGGAUUUUGGUCGGCUUUGACGCGUUUUGUUACUUAGCUUUCUCUCAUGAAGAUAACAGAGCUCCCUCUUCGGAAAUGCGACUUUGAGGACGCUCGCUGGCAGAGUCGAACCAUUAUUUAAAAUCGCCAUCACUGAGACUUUCAUGUUUUAUUUAUUUUUUAAGAUCUAUUUAAUCUGUUUGAUAAAUUAUAAUUAUUUUGAUGGAAAAAUGGUACGUCUUUUUACACUUUUUUUCUUUCAGCUAAAUGUUCGAAUCAUUUGCAACCUAAAAGAUAGUGAUGAAGUAAAAAGAUCUAUAUCCAACACUUGAUCUGAGGAUCAAAGAUUCCACUGAUGUAACAUUUCUUUUGCUUCUGAAUCUGAAUCUACUUGCUUUUGUCACUUUGAUUUCAAUGGAGAAGUUUGUUUUUUUAUCACAAUUUUGAUCUGUGGAAGUAUUUGUGCAAUGCGUCAGAUGAUGAAAGUUUGAAGUGUAAUCUUAGGACACCUUCCUACACUGCCCAAGAUUUCCUUGGGUUGUGGAUGAGAAAAACAUGUUCAAUCUGAUGAUGGUCAUGGCCUUCCGAAACACUUUUAAUUGAUUAUAUAUCUACGUUUUGCACUAUACGCUUCUUGAAUCAAUAUUGUUAAUAAUAUAUUCGGAAAUGAGGCUGUUUGUAUUCACGUGCAUAAAGCAGAUAUUUAUUCAGUAUCUGUUUGAUGUCCACAUUUUUGUAGAGAUAUUAUGAUCCUUUGCAAUUGUCAUUUUUUAAUCAAAAACCUCGUAUAACAAUUUCUGAUGUGCCUUACUCUAAAAAUUUGCAUGCUGGUCUUCUUUACUCGUCUGAACUAGGAUGUUUAGAAAAGUUGUAUGUGUCGGCUUAUGAUGAUAUGCUUAUAAAAGUUGGAAUUACCGACUGAUAAACCUAUUGUAUGAUGUCAAUUGAUCUGGCUGUCUGAGGCUGAUACUAUUAUCCAGCAUUGUAUUAUGAAGUCUUUAUUCUUCUUUGUACAUGGAGUAUUAUUUUUUCUUUGGUUUUCUCACAAAGGAUAAAGAAUUGCAUACACAAAGCAAUGCUUAUGUUUUUGGUUGUUGUAGCUUGUCACUGUGAAAUAUUUUGGCAGUCUAAUAUGUAGAAAUUUUAUUCAUGUUAUUUUAAUUGAUGUUUUAUUUGUCAUGCUUUAAAUUGUGAAUUGGAGAAAGUUUUUAAUUAUUUAGUAGGUAUCAAUUCUGAAGAGUUUAUGGAUCCCAAUGAAGAUGAAAUGGCCUCUUGAUAGGAAGUGCCGUAUGACACUUGUAAUGCAGUUGCCUGUCCAGUCCUUGGCUCUUUCUCCUCUUGACCAUGCCUCCCUCAAAUCCUACCAUAGGUUUGAGUUUCCGGGGUGUUGUUCAAAGGGGAAUUUGAAGUUCAAUGGACUUGGAGUUCAGCUGUGUGUGUGAUUUUAAAUCGGUCACUGAGGGCUCUUUUAACCUGUUGAAAGUUACUCCACUUUCAUUGGUUUUGAAUAUCCUUUCUUUGGCAUUUUGCAUGUUGAUAGGAAUCUGUGGUCAAGAUCACUGUCCAUCCAUGGAGUUGAUUUCUGUGAUCACAGAUAGUGAAUGUUUUCUGUCAUUUGUUAUUUUAGAAUGCUGUUUUCUAUAUGGUCUAGGCAAUGCCAUUUGUUUUAUCUGUUAUGCAACUCGUUAUUGUUGUUAUAUUUGAUAGUCGGCUAUGCCAUGCAACUCUUAUUGUUCAUGUUUUUGUCAUAUCCCAUUAUCUUAUAAGCUACUGGUCUUGUAGCAAACCUAAAGCUUUACAGAGAUAAAAGUAAGUAGGAAUUAGUGGAUUCCCAUUUGCAUGAUGAUGGCUUACCUGGUCAUUGUUAGUUCAGAGAUAAAAAAAACAGUAAAGGUUUUUUAUGAAGGCUUUACAGAGAUAAACCUAAAGCUUUACAGAGAUAAAACCUAAAGGUUUUUUAAGGUUCAGAGAUAAACCUAAAGCUUUACAGUGGUAAAAGCUUUACAGAGAUAAAAAAAACAGUAUUAUGAAGGCUUACCUGGUCAGAGAUAAACCUAAAGCUUUACAGAGAUAAAACCUAAAGGUUUUUUAAGGUUCAGAGAUAAACCUAAAGCUUUACAGUGGUAAAAGCUUUACAGAGAUAAAAAAACAGUAUUAUGAAGGCUUACCUGGUCAUCGUUAGUUCUAUCAAAUGUUGGUUCAACUCUUAUUGCAUGUCUCUGUAACUGAUAUUUUAGUUUACUGUCAUUUGACUAUAAGGGUUGAAAUGUUCAAUUUUUAUUGACAUUAAUACCCUUUAGAACUUUGUCAAAUGAUCACUCUGUUUAAACUCCAAUAAUUUCUUAUCAGAUCAUAGAACUCUUAAUUCUUUCUAUUAUUGGUUUGAGUUCAUUGAUACUUCUGGGAUGAAGAAACUGUAUCCUGCAAGUGACGACAAGAUAGACAGGGACAUCUAACUCUUUACAGAGAAUGAUGACUUGGUCUAUGGGAAUCUCUCUGAUGCAUGAGACUGUUUUCUCCCCUGUCUAUUCUGUAUUUUGUGACUGUUUUUCUUCGAUGGCAUGAUGCUUUUUUGGUGCAUCUAUUCAAUAGGCAAUUGUAAUUGUAUCAUAUAAGUUCUGCCUGUGAUGCACAAAAAGUGCACGUAUUAUCAGAGGUGAUUAUGACUUUUUUUUCUCCUUUUGACCAUGCCUCCCUCAAAUCCUACCAUAGGUUUGAGUUUCCGUGGGCGUGUUCAAAGGUGAAUUUGAAGUUCAAUGGACUUGGAGUUUGGCUGUGUGUGUGAUUUUAAAUGGGUCACUGACGGCUCUUUUAACCUGACCAAACUUAAUCUGCUUUCAUUGGUUUUGAAUAUCCUUUCUUUUCUAAGGUGUGUUUUUUUAACUUUGUGGUCUGAAGCCAUGUCAACAGUAGCAUAUGCAUUGACUGGUGGUGCUAUGAUCGGGCCCAAAUUAAGUCCUGAUUUGGCAUGUUGCAUGUUGAUAGGUAUCUGUGGACAAUCACUGUUCACCCAUGGAGCUGAUUUUGUGAUCGCAGAUAGUGAAAGUUUUCCGUCAUUUGUUAUUUUAGAAUGCUGUUUUUUUUAUAGUCAGGCAAUGCCAUUUGUUUUAUCUGUUAUGCAACUUGUUACUGUUGUUAUAUUUGAUAGCCCGCUAUGCCAUGCAACUCUUAUUGUUCAUGUUUUUGUCAUAUCCCAUUGUCUUAUAAGCUACUGGUCUCGUAGCAAACCUAAAGUUUUAAAGAGCUAAAAGUAAUUAGGAAUUAGUGGAUUACCAUUUGUAGAAAUUAUCCUGCAUGUUUGUAUUUGAUUUGCUGAUAUUCAGGAAUUGGGCUUACCAGGUCAUUGUUAGUUCUAUCAAAUGUUGGUUCAACUCUUAUUGUGUGUAAACUCUUUAGAACUUUGUCAUUAUGAUCACUCUGUGUAAUGUUAAAUUUUUAUUGAGAUUAAAAACCCUUUAGAACUUUGUCAAAUGAUCACUCUGUGUAAACUCCAAUAAUUUCUUAUCAGAUCAUAAGAACUCUUAAUUCUUUCUAUUAUUGGUUUUUGAGUUCAUUGAUACGUCUGGGAUGAGAAACCGUAUCCUGCAAGUGAUGACAAGAUAGACAGGGACUCGGCACUCUUUACAGAGAAUGAUGACUUGGUCUAUGGGAAUCUAUCUGAUGCACAAGAUUGUUUUCUCCCCUUAGUCUAUUAUAUAUUUUUUGACUAUUUUUCUUCUACAGCAUGAUGUUUUUUGGGUGCAUCUAUUCGAUAUGCAAUUGUAAUUGUAUCAUAUAAGUUCUGCCCGUGAUGCACAAAAAAUGCACGUAUUAUCAGAGAUGUUGUGAUGAUAUAUUAGUUGUCACUACCGCUGAGGCAGUCAAUUUGAAGUGAUGCUAUUGCAUCUCUAGUUCAUUACUUCCUUUUUUGUUGGUUUGUUUGUUUGUUGAUCUGAGCUAGUAUGCAUUGAUCAUUUGAAUGAUAACUUGGUUCAUGCAUUGUCUUAACUAUGCAAAAAUUGUUUUUGUAAAACACUGUGACAAUGAAGUAUUAUUUUUGUAUAACACCCUGUCAUCUUUCAAGAUUCCACUACCUUAUAUAUGCGAUGUUCAUUUUAAUGUUCUGUGAAACUUUUGAUUUUAGGAUCUAAUCCACUUUUUAAACUCGUAGUACCUGAUUGGUUCAUGCAAGACUUGUGUCUUGCAUUUUCCUGUGAAUGAUUAGUGCCUAUGAUGGUUUUAAAUAUACUACGAGUGACUACAAUGAUAAGGACUUUAUCUGAGGCACAAUCAUCUGGUUUCACUUAUUUUUAUAGGUUAUUUGUAUUUUAAAUGUUUGUCUUUGUAAUAUGAGUAAUUUAGUUGGUGUUGUAUCUGCAAACGAACUUUCGAUGUGGGUUUUUCGUUCGGGAGCAUGUGGCAGGGUUCCUCAAGUUUUUAGUUUCAAUGCCUAAUUCUUCUGCCAUUAUUCUAGACCAAAUUAGUGUCUUACAGUCAUGCAAAUUAUUUGCAAUCCUUGUUUUAUCAUUUAAAUGUGUUUUAUUAUUUUUCCUUUUUUAUAUUUUUCGUGGAAGGAUUUCAUAGGGCCGCUUAACUUAGUAGGAUGGUUUCUUUGAAUGUUUGAAAUGUUCAUAUUUGUUAUUAUGACAUGAAUUUUUAAUGCUGAUUAUAAAAUUUGGCUCAGAUCUUGGUUAAGUGCCAAUUGCCAAGCACAAUGUCAUCCAGAUUUGGGAUCAACCACUAGGACUUGUUUCAAAGCUGGUGUGUUCACAAAGCAGAGAUUCUGGAGUUAUGUUGGCGCUGCUUUUAUCAAAAGAUUGUCAUAAAUAUCUAAAUUCAUGAUAGUAAUUUAUUUUGCUUUACAGUUUUAUGUUGACAUCUAUUUGUUUAAUGUAUUUUACAGCUAAACGAUCUUUGAAUAAGAAACUUGUGAAUAAAUUUAAAAUUUCUCAAAUAAUAAUUUUACUAAUAAUAUUUAGCUAUCUAUAACAAUAUGAAUGGGUCACACUUAUCCAAGAUGACAAAUGUUUAUAUGUUUUGUGUUUAUCAUCAUAUGAACGCUUAAGACAAAUUUUCUGAUAUAUGGAUUUUUCUAUAAAUUUUGGGUUUUGUGAUGUUAACUUGCAAUAAUAACCAAAAUUUAUCUAAUGCCAAUUGAAAUAUCUCCAUUUAUAUCGUCCGUGGUUUGACAACUGAUGUGUUGAGUUGAGAUUUAAUGUGGUGUUUAUUUUUAUUAGUUGGAAUUGAUAUUGGGAUGUUCAUAUGCAAGGUAUCAUCAUCAGCUGCUAACUUGUGAUCCAGCGUUGGCAUGAGUCAAUUGACAAAGUCAACCCAAAAGUUGAUUGAAGCUGAUAUUUAAGGAAAAUAAUGUCGGUAUAAUAGCAUUAUAGGUAUAUGUACUCUAUGGGGAGUAUGAGGUGAGAUCUUUGUACAUUGUAUCUAUCCUUAUAUAAAUGCACGUCAUUACAUCUUAACAUUUAAAUAUUCCACUUGAUUAUUACCAUUUUUAAUUUCUUAGCCAGGUAAAUAGAUAUAACAUGCCAAAUAACAACCCUUCUCAUGUUUGUGAAAG
rnacentral:lncRNA from 1 species